UACGGAGGGUGCAAGCGUUAAUCGGAAUUACUGGGCGUAAAGCGCACGCAGGCGGUUUGUUAAGUCAGAUGUGAAAUCCCCGGGCUCAACCUGGGAACUGCAGCUGAUACUGGCAAGCUUGAGUCUUGUAGAGGGGGGUAGAAUUCCAGGUGUAGCGGUGAAAUGCGUAGAGAUCUGGAGGAAUACCGGUGGCGAAGGCGGCCCCCUGGACGAAGACUGACGCUCAGGUGCGAAAGCGUGGGGAGCAAACAGG
rnacentral:rRNA from 1 species